GGGGGUGUCAUGGUUUCGACAGGUAUCGUUCGAAUUUUGGAUGCGUCAGGUAGGCAGCGACUACCACAACAACGCUACAGUUAAAUAUAACUGCAAACAACGAAAACAAUUUAGCUUUAGCUGCCUAAAAACAGCGAGCUAAGAUCAGCCUAAUAUCGCCCAUGUAUUAGUUACUGGUCUCAAAUUAGUGGGAUACGCAAUGACUUUCCGUCUGCAAGUCAUUGAAGAGAUAAUCAGACUCGCAAGCACAGAGGCCUGUUAGUCGGCUAUGUGUAAGCUAAAUAAAAUUGACUAAUCUAUUGGCGUAGAUUCCUUGAUGGCGAGGUAUUUGGACAGGGGUUCGACUCCCCUCAUCUCCAUAA
rfam:Facklamia hominis CCTG 36813 genomic scaffold supercont1.1, whole genome shotgun sequence.